rnacentral:rRNA from 1 species
AUGACUAAGCUUGCGCUCCUCGUCCGAGGAACUGCAGUACUACUUUGUCUAUUGAUCUUCCAAGUAGCAUCCACUUCCCAUGGCCAAGCGAGUGGGUCGGGAGCCUGCAUCGGCAGCGAGCGAGAUGCGCUUCUGUCCUUCAAGGCAAGCCUCCUAGACCCUGCUGGCCGUCUCUCGUCAUGGCAGGGUGAGGAUUGUUGCCAGUGGAAGGGAGUCCGGUGCAGCAACAGAACGGGCCAUCUCAUCAAGCUCAACCUCCGCAACAUCGACAUGGAAGACUACAUGCGCUACUACAUGUACGACUACAGCGACUACAACUACCCAAACAGGAGCAGAUCAUUGAGCUUGUCGGCGGGCGAGAUGAGCUCUUCUUUGGCUACUUUACAACACCUGAGGUAUCUUGACCUGAGCUGGAAUGACUUCAAUGGCACAAGCAUCCCUGUCUUCUUGUCUUCUCUCAAGAACCUAAGGUAUCUCAACCUCUCGACGGCAGGAUUCAGUGGGAGAAUACCUUCUCAACUUGGCAAUCUCUCAAAAUUGCAAUAUCUUGAUAUCAGUUGGAAUUAUUAUUAUUAUGGAAAUAAGUCUUACAUAUUGGAUCUUGCAUGGUUGCCACGUCUCUCUUUGUUGAGCCAUCUUGACAUGAGUUAUGUGGAUCUUGGUUCUGCGAGGGAUUGGUUUCAGAGAGUUAAUAUGCUUCCUUCUCUUAAAGUGCUUCGCAUGUCCGACUGUGGACUCAAUGGUACCGUGUCUGCUACUAUAUCAAUUUCCAACCUCACACAUCUCGAGGUCCUUGAUGUGUCCUGUAACACCUUCAGAAUACCUUCCCAAUUUGGAAAUCUCUCAAAGCUGCAAUAUCUUGAUGUCAGUUGGAAUUAUUAUUCUGAUGUGGCUCUUGCAUGGUUGCCACGUCUCUCUUUGUUGAGCCAUCUUGACAUGAGUUAUGUGGAUCUUGGUUCUGCGAGGGAUUGGUUUCGGAGUGUUAAUAUGCUUCCUUCUCUUAAAGUGCUUGGCUUGUCUCAUUGUGGACUCAACAGUACCAUGUCUGCUAGUAUAUCACUUUCCAACCUCACACAUCUCGAAGUCCUUGAUAUGUCUGGUAACAACUUCUAUACUUCACUCAAGCAUGCAUGGUUUUGGAAUCUCAAAAGCCUUAAGGAGCUUCAACUCUCAGGGUCAGGCUGGGUAGGGUCCAUUCCUAGUGAUUUGGCAAACAUGACGUCCCUUGAAGUCAUAGACCUGAGUUUCAAUCAGCUCGUGGGUUUGCUACCAAACAAAUUAGAAAAUUUGUGCAAUUUGACAAGGAUGAGGUUCAAUUAUAACAACAUAGGUUCAAGCAUAGGGGAGUUCAUGGGGCGAUUGCCAAAGUGCUCAUGGAAUAAACUGCAAGAAUUGUCAGUGUGCGGUGGAAAUAUGAUGGGGAAUCUGCCCACUUGGAUAGGGAACAUGACUAAUCUUAGUGUUCUUGAAGCAUCUGAAAACAUGUUGACUGGCCCUCUGCCUGUAGGACUUGGAGCACUGGGUAAUUUGGAAAUGUUGGGCCUCAGCUACAAUAAGUUCAGCGGUGUGCUAUUGAAAGAACAUUUUGCAAGUUUAGGCAACUUAAAGGUUUUGGAGCUCAGCUACAAUAACUUCAGCAGUGUGCUCUUGAAAGAAAAAUUUGCAAGUCUGGGCAACUUAAAGCUUUUGGACCUCAGCUACAACAAAUUCAGUGGCGUGCUCUUCAAGGAAGAUUUUGCAAGUUUAGGUAAUUUGGAGCAUUUGGACCUCAGCUAUAAUAACUUCAGUGAUUUUCUUUUGAAAGAACGCUCAACAAGUUUAGUUAAUUUAAAGCAUAUGGAUCUUAGCCAUAAUAAAUUAGAUAGUGUGCUCGUGGAGGAGCAUUUUGCAGGCCUAUUGAAUCUAGAGUAUCUGGACUCAUUGUACAACUCUUUGAGAUUUGCUAUCGACAAAAAAUGGAUCCCUCCCUUUAGAUUGAAAGUUGCUAGAUUCCGGUCAUGCCUACUGGGCCCCAAUUUUCCAGAAUGGCUUAAAUCGCAGUCAAACAUUGAGGUUCUUGUUCUCAGUAAUGCGAAUCUGGAUGACAUUAUUCCUGAUUGGUUUUGGGUGACAUUUUCCCAAGCUUCAUUCUUGCAAGCAUCAGGAAAUAAAUUGCAUGGCUCAUUACCGGCACAGUUGCCUAUAAAAAUAGUAAGACUGAACCUAUCUUCAAACUCUUUAUCUGGUUCAUUGCCAUCAGAGUUAAAUGCUCCACUACUCGAAGAGUUUUUGCUUGCAAACAAUCAAUUCAUAGGCACCAUUCCGUCGUCUAUAUGCCAAUUGACUAAACUGAAAAGGUUGGACCUAUCAGGAAACCAGUUAACAGGAGAUAUUAUGCAGUGCCAAAAGGAACUUGUUCCAAACUCUACAGAUCAAUUUGGCUCUGACAUGCUGAGCUUAGCCUUGAAUAACAACGAUCUCACUGGUGAAUUCCCUAAAUUUCUUCAAAGGUCAUCAGGAUUAAUGUUCCUUGAUCUUUCUUACAACAGGUUAUUUGGAGGACUGCCAGAAUGGUUACCCCAAAAAAUGCCACACAUGAAAAUAUUAAGAGUGAGAUCAAAUAUGUUCAGUGGUCAUAUUCCUAAGAGUCUCACUUCCCUUCAUGGUCUUCAUUAUUUGGAUAUAGCACACAACAACAUGACAGGAAGCAUACCAUGGUCUUUGUCAAACCUGAAGGCAAUGAUGACAAUGGUGUCACAGGACACGGGUGAUUAUAUUUAUGAGGAGAGCAUCCCAGUAAUCACAAAGGAUCAAAAGCGUGACUACACCUUUGCAAUCUACCAGCUAUUGGUUGUUCUUGAUUUGUCAAGUAAUAGUUUGGCAGGACAGGUUCCAGAGGAGAUAACUUUACUCAUUGGGCUUACCAAUCUGAACUUGUCAAAUAAUCAACUCACCGGAGCAAUCCCAAACCAAAUUGGUGAUUUAAGGCAGCUGGACUCACUUGACCUGUCCUUCAAUGAAUUUUCUGGUGCAAUACCAUCAAGUUUGUCAGCUUUAACUUAUUUGAGCCACUUGAACUUGUCAUACAACAAUUUGUCCGGUGCAAUACCAUCCGGACAACAGCUACAAGCUCUUGACAACCAGAUGUAUAUCUACAUCGGUAACCCUGGUCUUUGUGGAGAUCCUGUUGGCAGGAACUGCUCAACACAUGAUGUAGAGAAAAGUGGCCUCGAAGAUAUAGAUCAUAUGCCAUCUGUUUUUCUUGGCAUGAGCAUUGGAUUUGUGGUGGGUCUGUGGACAGUUUUCUGCACUUUGUUGAUGAAGAGAACAUGGAGGGCUGCCUUCUUCCGGUUUGUUGAUAUGAUGUACGACAUGGUUUAUGUGCAAGUGGCUGUAAGGUGGGCUCACAUGAUGGAGAAAAAUCAAGAUGGUGCACCAUGA